rnacentral:rRNA from 1 species
AUACAGAGGGUGCAAGCGUUAAUCGGAUUUACUGGGCGUAAAGCGCGCGUAGGUGGCUAAUUUAGUCAAAUGUGAAAUCCCCGAGCUUAACUUGGGAAUUGCAUUCGAUACUGGUUAGCUAGAGUAUGGGAGAGGAUGGUAGAAUUCCAGGUGUAGCGGUGAAAUGCGUAGAGAUCUGGAGGAAUACCGAUGGCGAAGUCAGCCAUCUGGCCUAAUACUGACACUGAGGUGCGAAAGCAUGGGGAGCAAACAGGAUUAGAUACCCUGGUAGUCCAUGCCGUAAACGAUGUCUACUAGCCGUUGGGGCCCUUGAGGCUUUAGUGGCGCAGCUAACGCGAUAAGUAGACCGCCUGGGGAGUACGGUCGCAAGACUAAAACUCAAAGGAAUUGACGGGG